AUCAUGGCUCAGAUUGAACGCUGGCGGCAGGCCUAACACAUGCAAGUCGAGCGGUAGAGAGAAGCUUGCUUCUCUUGAGAGCGGCGGACGGGUGAGUAAUGCCUAGGAAUCUGCCUAGUGGUGGGGGGAUAACGUUCGGAAACGGACGCUAAUACCGCAUACGUCCUACGGGAGAAAGCGGGGGAUCUUCGGACCUCGCGCCAUUAGAUGAGCCUAGGUCGGAUUAGCUAGUUGGUGAGGUAAUGGCUCACCAAGGCGACGAUCCGUAACUGGUCUGAGAGGAUGAUCAGUCACACUGGAACUGAGACACGGUCCAGACUCCUACGGGAGGCAGCAGUGGGGAAUAUUGGACAAUGGGCGAAAGCCUGAUCCAGCCAUGCCGCGUGUGUGAAGAAGGUCUUCGGAUUGUAAAGCACUUUAAGUUGGGAGGAAGGGCAGUAACCUAAUACGUUAUUGUUUUGACGUUACCGACAGAAUAAGCACCGGCUAACUUCGUG
rnacentral:rRNA from 1 species